UCACGUGGGAAAUUUAUUGGAGAGAGGAUAUACAGAGAUAUACAGAGACCACCUCUGGGCGAGGGUGGAGGAAAGACGAAACCAAGUAGAGGCAGGAUUUGAAUUUGUGGUCCGAACUGUUUAGUUUCUCCAGCAGCUGGGAUUACAGGCUUUUUGCAGCAGCUCAGCUGGGACUCCUUUUGAACUGUUGUUUAUGAAACAAGGACUCUGAGACUGCAUUUGGCGCAGAAAACCAAACCCAAGACAAUCAAAUCCAAAACAACACACCGACUCUUGACCUGCCGAUACUCAAUGGUCAAGUAGAAGCAAGACCAAGCUUGUCUUCUUUGCAUUUAUUUUGUGUGUGUCCAGUUUGGGGGUCCAGUUCAGACUCCACUCUGCACACAGGCAAGUUAAUCACUUAAAGGUUAUCUGUCUAAGGAGCAGUGGCAUCAGACGAGCCCUAAGUUCACCUACCUGUCCUCCUCCCUCAGGGCUGAAGGCACCAAAUAAGAGAAAGAUUAUUUUGCCUUUUAAAAAGCCUGUUCCCAGUACUAAGUGGCCUUGGAUGUCUCCAGUCAUUUCCCUAAACUUCAUCACCUUGGAUUCCCAGAUAAGAAGCCUGGCUGGCAAACCAUUUCAUUAUGACACUGGUCCUCAAGUGAGAACAAACUGCCUCAUGAGAGGAAGCAACCGGACCUUAGUGAGGAGAGAUGAUGUCACCACAGAAAGAAAUUGCCUUCUCAAAGGAUCUUGGAGACAGUGAUAUCUUCUGAGCCAUUUCAGAACCAGAAUAGAUAAUAAUCAGACUGCCCACAUUUGAUCUACUCUGUGUAAGCAUGUUUUCGUGCGCCUGUCAGCAUUUUUCUGUGUAGUUUGAGCACCCAUGUCUCUAUCCCAGAAAGGGAGGCUCAGAGGUUCCACAUCUCCCCAGGUAGCUAGCUAUGUCAGUUAAAUUUAUUUUCCUGCCUCCCCCCCCCCCCCCGUUAGACACCUUAGGCAAGCAACAAACUAGUUGGGAUUUCCUUGAAGUGGAGCCUUGGCCUCCAGUGAAAUAUACAUUUUUUUUUCUAUUCUUUUCUGUUCUUCUCAGCACUGGACAGCAUUUAGUUGUAUCACUGGAACCAACAAACACGCUGCCUCAGUUGACUUCUCCAUGAAAUAACUUGGAAAAGUUACUCGGGACGCUCCGGCUACUCUUCUCUCCACUCUAUAGGCAUGGAAAUCUUGGCACGAUGAGAAUUUUCAGUAACUUUUUCUGAAGAAAUAACGUCUCAGUGCUGUUUUGCUUGGCUCAGCUCAGUAAUGCAAGAGGACACUGUACAAAGUAAACAGAAUGAAGGUUACCCUGCUGCUGAAAAUAACUGUGUCCUGACCAUCUAAUAUGUUUGAUGACAGACUAAAGAAUUGAAAUUUGCCUUUUGGGUAGAACACCUUUCUAUUUCAUGUUGAAGAUGAUUUUAUUACAAUAUUAAUUGGAGCUGGACAUUGGGUUAUAUACCUGAAGGCAGAGGUCAUAGCAUGCAAGCUUGAAUCCAGGACCUGCAGGCUCGUGACACCCACACCUGGUAGCAAAAGAUGCCUGGAAUUUCAGACCUCCAAUCUGACAGCCAGAAGAAGGACCAUUCAGAGCAUCUCAAUGCCAGAGCUAUGCAAAGACAUACUGACAGAAUAGUAGAUCCAGGAGUGAAAGAAACCCUGAAAGCCAUCAAUGUUCAUCUGCGGCAAAAUUCCUGAAAGCGAAAGACUCCCUGGAGCGCAUCUAACCAAGGAUGGGAAGCAUUUAUCGAGAAAUGACAUUUCCCCUGCCAUCAGCUGCCUUUGUGGAUGGCUCCAUCUGAGUUUCCUGGCAACAAUUUUAAAUAUGAAAGUGUCAAGCUCCGUGCUUAUGGAAGAUGACCUGCACCGGGGCCGAGCCUCUGCUGAGCCUGUGAUGAGCUGUUUGAGAGAGGGAUCAAUGGCUUGCAGGUUACCAGGCAGAGUAAUGAAAAGAACUGGGACGAAUGCAAGCAAAAGUCAGCUGGAGAAAUAAGGCUAUUGAGUGAGAAUGGCUACCAGGAGGGCAAAGCUGCAGGAAGCGGGGACAUGGGGCAGUAGGCAGUUACUGGUAGACACUGAGUGGGAAUGACCAGGCUUCUCUGAACAGUAAAGCCUUAUUAACUUUGAACCUUAGAUGAAAUGACUUUCUGUGGUCUUGCUGGCUCCCAAAAUCACUCUUGCCCCUGACAUGCAUUAAAGAUCAAAAUUCACAUGGCCUGAAAAGGCUUAGGCUUAUAACAUGCAACACAUUUCAAAUAU